GGAGCGCCAGAGCUGCUAAGUGCGUCAGUUGUGGAGAGGCGUAGACGAGUUAAGUCCUGGUCUGCGUGGAGGUCGACGACUCCGUCGCAGACUACGGACCUGUCUGGGUCUCAGCCGCCAAAGACCCCGUCCGGUAGGAAGUACUAGCCGGACAUCAUGAGUGGCUGUCGAGUAUUCAUCGGGAGACUAAAUCCAGCGGCCAGGGAGAAGGACGUGGAAAGAUUCUUCAAGGGAUAUGGACGGAUAAGAGAUAUUGAUCUGAAAAGAGGCUUUGGUUUUGUGGAAUUUGAGGAUCCGAGGGAUGCAGAUGAUGCUGUGUAUGAGCUUGAUGGAAAAGAACUCUGUAGUGAAAGGGUUACUAUUGAACAUGCUAGGGCUCGGUCACGAGGUGGAAGAGGUAGAGGACGAUACUCUGACCGUUUUAGUAGUCGCAGACCUCGAAAUGAUAGACGAAAUGCUCCACCUGUAAGAACAGAAAAUCGUCUUAUAGUUGAGAAUUUAUCCUCAAGAGUCAGCUGGCAGGAUCUCAAAGAUUUCAUGAGACAAGCUGGGGAAGUAACGUUUGCGGAUGCACACCGACCUAAAUUAAAUGAAGGGGUGGUUGAGUUUGCCUCUUAUGGUGACUUAAAGAAUGCUAUUGAAAAACUUUCUGGAAAGGAAAUAAAUGGGAGAAAAAUAAAAUUAAUUGAAGGCAGCAAAAGGCACAGGUCAAGAAGCAGGUCUCGAUCCCGGACCAGAAGUUCUUCUAGGUCUCGUAGCCGAUCCCGUUCCCGUAGUCGCAAAUCUUACAGCCGGUCAAGGAGCAGGAGCAGGAGCCGGAGCCGGAGCAAGUCCCGUUCUGUUAGUAGGUCUCCCGUGCCUGAGAAGAGCCAGAAACGUGGUUCUUCAAGUAGAUCUAAGUCUCCAGCAUCUGUGGAUCGCCAGAGGUCCCGGUCCCGAUCAAGGUCCAGAUCAGUUGACAGUGGCAAUUAAACUGUAAAUAACUUGCCCUGGGGGCCUUUUUUUAAAAAACAAAAACCACAAAAAUUCCCAAACCAUACUUGCUAAAAAUUCUGACGGGGUCUUUCUCUGUUGCUAGGCUGGAUGGAGCGCAGUGGUGCUAUCUCGGCUCACUGCAGCCUCUGCCUCUGGGGUUCAAGCGAUCUCCUGCCUCAGCCUCCCGAGUAGCUGGGACUACAGGUGUGUGCCACCAUGCCUGGCUAAUUUUUGUAUUUUUAGUAGAGAUGGGGUUUCACCAUAUUGGCCAGGGUGGUCUCAAAUCACUUGACCUCAUGAUCCACCCGACUCGGCCUCCCAAAAUGCUGGGAUUACAGGUGUGAACUACUGCGUCCGGCCAUCUUUAUUCCUUUCUAAGGACGUUUGAGGCCAACCCUGUCUUCCUCAAAAGCUAAACAAAUGUGUUCUUACGUAACGUGUAUGUAACCAAGUCUCCUAGCAGAUGAUGAUGGUUAGAUAAUAGAGAAAACAAUUUGAACAGGUAGGUAUAUAUGGAUAUAAUCAGUAAAAAUGAUAGGUGGUAGCCUUGUCAAAAAUCUGCGUUUUUUAAGAGGAUGUUAGUGACCCAAAUCUGUUUUUCUCGUUUUGGUGUUGGGAGUAUUUGUUAGUCCUGCACAUUUGCAAACUGAUGUCCGAAAACUAUAUUGUCUUGGUUUCGUUUGUACCUGACCAUACAAAAUGAUAAAAAUCCCAAGUAACUAAGCAUGAUUGACUUUUUGUAAGUGUUAAUAUUAGUUGUUAAUCAUUUACUUGAUCUUUAUUUGCAUAUGAUAUGCAAAAUGUUUAAAUUUUAUUAGAGACAAUUUGAAAUUUGUGAAUUCUAGGUAUUUGAACGUUUUUCUUAGAAUUGGGAAACCACUCAUUUUGGCAGUAGUUUGCUGUACCCAGUUUUGGGGGCGCCUUGUGUUAAAACCAAAUACCUACUGAACUUAAAAAAGAGGUUAUUAGGUAACAUUGUGUUAAUGUAUAUGUUUGUUUCCUGGUUUUUCCUUGUCAGAGUUUUUCUCCUUUACUAAUGUGAUGCAUUCACCCAGUUUUUUCAUUUCAUUAGCUAUUUUUUGAGUUUGUUUUGCCUAAUUGCACCUUACUGUGUUCACUUUUGCAAACUUGAUGUAAAAUUUGACUUUUCGGGAGCAUCAUCCCAAUAAUCUCAAAACGGAAGGAAUAGGAUCUGAACUUUUUAGGUUAGAACUUCUGAAGUCUAAUUCUACAGCACUUUUGAGCAUUUAUUUCUUUUUUGGGUCACAAAACUUGGAAUGGGAUUUGGGUAUUUGAGUAAUGGGUUAAACAUAUAUAUUGAUUAGUUCUGGAAUUGAGUGACUUUAAGAUGCUUAUCAGACACUUCUGGAGAUCCCAGCAAGAGGCAGAUUCGGUUUCUGGUUUCAUAGAGUUUACAGUCACUGAACAAGUCUUUAAAAUAAGUAGCAAAUUCUAAGUUGGGGAUAGGUGAGGCUUCUUGGGUAGACACCCUGUCUGUGUUCCCGGCCAAGACUUGAUGAUUCUGAUAGAUGUACUGGAAAUGCUGGAGAAAGACUCAGGCAAGAUAGGUAUUUUUGCUGCUCUCUCUAGUUUACCACACUGGCUUUCAGAAUUGCUUUGGGACCAGAAUCCAGGCCACCAAGGGAAGGGCUAGGCUGUGCAAGGGGAGCAGUCCUCCCCUUUGUAGGUGCCAUUUCCCAGAGCUCCUGGAAUUGUUUCUUCAGUUGUGGCAGCUGUGUAGAUCAUUUUUGUUUUACCUGUAAAGUUAAAAAAGGUUAUAGGUGUAGAAAGAGAACAAGAGGAGUGAACAAUGAAGCUUGUUUAAUCUGGAAAGUACAAAAAUGCCAGCUCAGCCCUAGGGUGUGCUAAGUGUAUAUUUUCCAUCUCUGUCGUCUCUCCCAUGGUUUACUCUUUAAACUCACUUUCCCCUUAGUCUCCCUAAUGGUAGUACUAGUAGUAAAAGUCCUAAUGAAUUAGACUAUUGUGUCUUCAUCAUCACUUCACUUCUAACUUCUUUGUUAUACAGUAAAACAACAGGAGAUGAGUUUAUGUAUGCAAGGAUUGUGUUGCAUUCAGGGAAUGAGGAGGCAGGCAGGAAAGAUCUUUGAGAAAGUCUAACCAAGAGAGUUUCCAGUUCUUCCCUCCAACCCCCAAUUGUUCUACCUCUUCUUGUCUGCGGUGUAGGCGGUGAUGCAAAUUUGAAGAUAGCUUUGAUUCGUGCACCUUUCUAUACAGAUGGGAGAGUUCUCUAUAUAGAGUUGUUCUCCCAUCAGGUGCAGGAAUCAAAAGUAUAAAAACUUGACAGAUUCCUCCCCCUGAGAAUAGCUUCUUGGGGCCAUUAGGUCCAAAGAAAUACGUUGCUUUGAUUUAGUGUUUCCACUGGGGUCUUCUGAGAUACAUUGUGAGGAAAGUUCUUUUCAAGUCUUGAGAGCUAAAGAUCCAUAGAGUAUUGUCCUUUGAGGUCACUCCAGGUCUUUCUGGUACUAAAACCUCAAAUCUGGGAACUUGGUUGGUCUAGAAACUUCUGUGCACUUUUUGUAAGAGGGCAGCAAAUCUCUUGCAUUCCUCUCAGAUAAGAAUCAGACUAGAUUCUUUGUCACAACUCUACUGUAGCUUUGAACCAAAGCUUCUAAAAUGGUUCUAGAGUAUGGUCAGCCUGUACUUGUUUUGUGUUGGCUGCUUGGCAACCUAAUUACAUCUUAGCUAAUUGCAAAGGGAGAGAGAAUCGGCAUUUGCUAGUAUAUUGUAACAAAUUCCAAUAGGGAAAGUUGUAUAUUUCUCCUAGGGUGUAAAUCAUAAUCCCUAGGGUCUAGAAAGGUUUUGAAGGGGACUUCAGUUCAUGGACAUGAAGGGACAGUUGAAGGAUUUGGGUAAGUACUUAGGAAGAAUAUACUAAUGUUUAGAGUUAUAAUGAAAUGUGUUAUAAAGUGGGUUUGAAUGUCCUGUUUUUUUGUUUUUUUUUUAAAUUGGUGUUAAAGUGCACUUUGAGGAAGGCACUCUGGUCUCUGGUCUGUCUUGAGGUUCAAUUUUAUUUUGAAAGGUGGUGCUCUGAGCAUUUUAGAGAAGAGAUGCUAUGUUAAUUCCAUAGUGAUCAGAGUAAAGUAUAAAUCAUAUUAAGUUUAUUGUGGAGGUAGUUACUGUUUAACAACCUUAUGCUUAAGUUUCCUUUACUGCGUAACUAGAGUUGAGGAAUCUUUUUUUUUUUUUUCUUUAUUCUGGGUUAUAUUAGGCUUCAUUGCUUUCAUAUGUUUUUCCUCAUAUGGAGGUGCCAGUGGUGCUGUGGCUCUGAUCUGGUUCCAGGAAAUGAGAACCUAGUCCUGAGAAAUGGAAACUUCCCCAACUCUUGCGAGUAGACGCCUUUCACACAACUAAUAACCUCAGUUGUCCAAGGCAGUUCUGUCCUAUGAUGUCUCCUCACUGAGAUAAAGCAGCCCAAAUUGCUUCAGUUUUAUGAGGUAAACUGCAUCCACAGUUUCAUUCUCCCAGCUAGAAGGAAGAAAUGAAGUGCAGUUGAUGGAAGUAGCCUUGGAUCUUUAAAACUUCUUGGAUGCUUCUUGGGGCUACCUGGUUCUUAGUGACUUGAUAAGAGUUAAAAGCCCUGUCCAAAAAGUCCCUGCUAGAAACUUGCUUGUUGGCAGGCUCAGGUCUAAUAUUGGAGCAGAACUUGAAGUGGGGAUAAUUUCAGUACUCACCCUUGGGAGUCUUGAAUUUCUCAUAGCACCAAAACAUGGCAAUGAGGAGAAGCCCUUCUCCAAGCUGGAAAAUCAUGUAGAGGAGGGGAAAGAAGAAGAGUGGUCCAAUGACUUCAGGUGGAAAGGCCACAUUGAGGAUGGUGGAACAGAGUUGGACAUUUUGGCAUCCGGUCUCCAUGCUGACAGUGCGUCUGCACCUGUGUCGGUGAAGAAAACUCCACAUAUACUCAGAAGGAACUGGAGGGAGCAACUUUGUCCCAGUGCUGCUACCAAAGAGUUUGUCAGCAGAUGGAAUCUAGACCCUGGACAGGGGUACUUUGCUGUUGCUGUUGGUGUUUGGAUGCCUUUGGUGUCUGGAUUUUUAACCCAUUCAAUACCUUCCCUCAAGUUUUUUGAAGUCUAAAGUCUCUUGUCCAGUUAGUGCAUCUGAACAUAUUGCCAGGAAAAUGUCUUGCCGAGAUUUCAGGUUCCUAGCUUCUUAUUCUUUUCCUGGAAGACUAGGACAAGAAUGAAGCCCAUGGGACAGUGGGACCUAAAAUAAUACCCAUCUCCAGGCAUGCAGUGGCUCACGUGUGUAAUCCUAGCACUUUGGAAGGCUGAGGCAGGCGGAUCACUUGAGCUCAUUAGUUCAAAACUAGCCUGGGCAACAUGGUAAAACCCUGUCUCUAGAAAAGAUAAAUCAGCUGGUCAUGGUGGCUUGUGCCUGUAGUCCCAGUUACUUGGGGGGCUGAGGCAGGAGGAUCAGUUAAGCCCUGGAGGUUGAGGCUGCAGUGAGCUGAGAAUGUGCUACUCCCCUCCAGCCUGGGCAACAGAGUGAGACCCUUUCUUAAAAAAAAAAAAAAAAACAAAACCUACCGUCCAUUGAGGCAGAAGAGAGCAGAGAGAACAUAACCCAGCAGAAAGCCAAUAAAAGGCAUCAGGGAGGAGGUGGCAAUCAAGAGUGGUGUCAUGGCAAACAUGAUGCUCUUCCCCACAUUGAUGGCAGAGAGAACUGUGACGGCCACACUGCACAAGAGAAUGAUGAUCAUCCCUCCCUGGGAAUGAAGACAAGAAGAAAAGGCAAUUAGAAGAGUUGGGGAUAGAGAGGAACAGAGGUGGGGAAGCACAGGUAGAAAUUGGAGGUGGGAAACAUUGCAAUAAAACACUGGAAGUAGAAAGGAAUAUGAAAGACCUUUAUCUUCUUUUUGGAUUCCUUUCUUUAAAUUUUUUUGAAAUUAUUAAUAUUAGAGACAGGGUCUUACUAUAUUGCCCAGGCUGGUCUUACUCCCGGACUCUAGCGGUCCUGCUGCCUUGGCCUCCCAAAGUGCUGGGAUUACAGGUGUGAGCCACUGCACCCAGCCCAUCUUUUUAGAUUUCUUAUCAGUAGCUAGGAAGCUUGGGGACAGCUGAUUAACACUUUGAUUAUUACAAACUCAGCCAAGCACAGUUUCUGCUUUUGACACAUCUCUGGAUAGCAGACUUUUAGUGAAGUGUUACGUGAGGCUAUUCAGGACUCCUGCAAAAUGGAUAUUAUAAAAGUUUAAAAGUCAGUAUUUUUGGAACUUACAUACACAUUCCUACAAUACUGUCAUUGUUUCACAUACUUUGAAACUCAUGAGAACUUGUCAUACAUAUUCGUCUCAAAUACCUUGAUUACAGGUAGGGAUUUUAUCCAUUUUAGGAUCAAUUUGACUUCUGGAAAUUGCCAAGAGUCAUUAAAACACAGCUGGUAAACAAGGUGGAUGAUCAAGCCCGGAAAUACGGUUUUAAACCCAAAAUGAUGUCUAAUAAUAAGGGGACAAACCUACUUUCUUGAGUGACCUGCAAAUUGAAUAUGAAGGAGGUUCCCAAAAGAACUUUCAUAAAUAUCUUGGGUGAUAACAUCAUUGGAAACUAUGCAGGUCUACUCUGAAUGAAAUUAUAGGGUUUUUCAUUGUGCAACAUAGGAUGCAACCUUUCAAAGUGCAUGUGCACUCCAUGCACUUUGUACUUCCCAGUGUGCAUUUUAGAGAAUUGCGUGCUCCAAAAUGAUAAACAGGUAUGUGUAAAUUUAAGACUGUCCCUUUUAUCUCCUGAGUAAAGAAAUACUUAACAAACUUUUCUCAAACUUAUCAUGUUAUUUUGUAAUAGUUAUAUGUGUUGUUCACUUUUUGGUUCAUUCACAUGUGUUGCAUUUUAUAUUUCCUAGUAACAUUUUAAAAAAGUAGUAAAAUAUGUAUAGCAAAGUUUGCCAUUUUAAUCACUUUUGAGUGUACAGUUCAGUGGCAUUAAGUACAUUCAUAAUGUCCGAACGACAUUUUAGCAUAUUGCUCAAAUUUCAGCUGCACAGCUUUAUGUUUCUAAUACUUGUUGCAACUGAUGUGAUCAUAUAAAACAUCACCUAUACCAAUUAGUGGUCCUAUCCCAGCAUAGGAAGGACUUUCACACAUCUUUUGAAUAACCAUGUGCUUCAAGUUUUAUUAAAAGACUUAUUAGCUAGUGAACUUCUCAGUUUACCUUUGCAUUUUUAGUUGAUCUCCCCUUUUGGAUUUCUGUCUUUCGAAUUUGUCCUUUACCCAACAGUCAAAUAGUUUUUAAUCUCCAUCAAGAGUGUAGUGGAUAAUGUAGGAGACAUUGAGUUACAGGAAUUGUCCACGAAUCCAGAAGCCCUCUUCUUCUGUAUAGGCAUUCACUCUUUUUCUCUCACUCAUGUUCUCUGACUCUUGGGGACUGCACAGUUGUGGUUAUGAACACAGACUGAUAUGAUCCAGGUGGGAAAGCUGGCUCUGCUAGUCUCCAGGUUUGUAAGCUUUGGGGAGUCACUCAACCUGAGUGAGGUUGACAGCAUAGGACCUGGCAUAUAAGAACCGCUCACUAAACUGUAACUCCUAUUAUUACUCAAAGGGGAGGAAUUGACAUUCUAGAGGUUCCUGUCACUCUCACUGCUGCCAUCUCUGGAAAUUUAUCCUGUCCACAACCCUUGUCUCUUGCUGAGACAAGUGGCCCUGGGUAGUUGCUUCUCCAUAGGCUACCAUGUUUCGUGCCACCUGACUUCAUUGCCCUGCUCACAACUGGUAUGAGUGCUCAUUCAUGGGCAGCCAGUCCAUUGGCUUACACAUGAGAUGACAUGUCCACACACUACCCACAAAGGUGACCUGGACAGGCUGGUGAGUGGUAGAAAUAAUCAGAUUCUCUGAUUUAGGAAGUUUGCAGGAUUACAGAGAGGGAAGCAAUAGCAGGGACAAGUGUCAAAACACACAGAGGUCUGGGAGCAAUAGAAGCCACAAGUUGGCAGAAGUUAUAAGACAAAGGGGAGUUAGGGGUCAGUUCAUCAGUAGCAGCAGGUGUGGGAAAUGCAUGAGUAGAGUGUUGAGUCAAUGAAAUGGUGGUAUCCUUAUUAAAGAAUGGUGGAUGGCUUAUGGUGAAAGUGGCUCAUGGACCAUGUCAUUCUCAGAUUCAUCACCCUUCUAGCCACAUAGCCUUUGGAUAAACCCUUGCAUGGGUAAGUUAAAAAUUACUUGAAUUGCCUUUCAAAAUGAGCAUUCCUGAAAUUGUAUCUUGGUAUAUCUAAAUGUGACCUUCCACCAGCGAAUGCAGCUGGUUGAACGCGGUGUGAGCAGAUACCUGCUGCCAGAGCUAGUUAUUGAAAGUUGGGUUAUUUUGAUUUGCAAGGUCCAAGGAGGGUUAUGUGUGCAUAAGAGGCUAGGACAGUCAUUUGUUCGUUUUCCAGUUUGGCACUCACUAUAUUAUUUAUGGGACAGGGUGACGAAGGAUGAGCACAGGCCUCGAAGAGCCAUAGAAGCAAGGAAACCUCAGCCUUUGCAGCUUGACCCACAUGUUCGUCUCUGCAUCGUCACAGGAGUGAUUCCAGUUUUGGAAUAUAGGAAGAUCAGUGUAGCUGUUGACUUUGUGUUUGUUUAACCCUGGAGGUUUAGCCAGGGGCAAAAUGGGUCCAGGGCAUGCCUGGGUUUUUUAGAUCACUUUUUAUGUAGUCCCUUAUUACUAGUCUCGGUCUUUCCAGCCAAGGUAUUUCUUAGCCCUUUUAAUGUUCUCUGGCUUCAUUUUGACUUCAUUUCCUCUGUGGCAUUGAGUAGUGAAUGUGCAACACAACAGGAACAGACUGGUUGAGAUAAUCCUGGCUCCGCCAAGUAACUUUUCUGGGCCUCAGUUACUCUAUCUGCAAAUUGGGAAUAAGGCAGGAGACUGAACUUCAUCUUAAAGGCUUCUCUAGCUUUAAGAUCUGAGAUUCUCGGCCAGGUGUGGUGGCUCACGCCUGUAAUCCCAGCACUUUGGGACGCCAAGGCGGGCAGAUCACAAGGUCAGGAGAUCAAGACCAUCCUGGCUAACACGGUGAAACCCCACCUUUACUAAAAAAUAAAAAAAUUGGCCGGGUAUGGUGGCGGGCGCCUGUAGUCCCAGCUACUUGGGAGGCUGAGGCAGGAGAAUGGCGUGAACUCGGGAGGUGGAGCUUGCAGUGAGCUGAGGUCGUGCCACUGCACUCCAACCUGGGCGACAGAGUGAGACGCCGUCUCAAAAAAAAAAAAAAAAAGGUCUUGAGACUCUACUUUAUGCAACCUCAGAGAAACACUUUUAAAGCUACUCUGAGGUAGAAAGGAGACAUGUUCUCACAUCAGUUGUCAUUAGCACUAUGACUUGGUAUUCUGGUUCCCAGUUUUCCCACCUAUAAAAUGGGGGAGGGCAGAGUAGCAUUAAAUGAUAGUAGUGGUCACUUCACAUUUUAAUAUUCUUUAUAUUUUACAUGCAUUUCUUUAAGAUCAUUUGUGGGUGUAUAGGAUUUUUAAAAAAGCAAUUUUAUGCACCCCACAAACUAUCUUAAAGAAAUGAAAUGAUGCACACAAACAUGUUUCUCUGUGUACGCUGUUUUUCUGCUGGUGUGUGGAAGAGCAGCAGACAGGACUUGCCCUUCAUUCCUUUAUUUAUUCUCAGGCAUUAGCUAUGGGGGCACUGUGAUAGGUGCUGUGGAUUCAGUGUUAAGACAUAGCCUUAUGGUCUUGCUUCUUGAAAUGAGUGGGGAAUAAAAAUGAACAGAUAUUCUUAAUGCAGUGUAAUAAUUGCUACAGGGGUUAGCUGGAGUGUUGGGAGCUAUGGGAAUGAAUAGGACAAGCAUCUUACUCAGGCUUAGGAGGUUAAGGAAGGCUUCCUGGGGGAGGCGCUAUUUGUGUUGAGACUUAAAGGAUGAGUGGGAGUGAUCCAGUGAAAGAUGGUGAGUGGGGUGAGAAUUGGGAAGAAGAGUGUUCCAGGUGAAGAGAAGGGCACGUGCAAAGAGAAAAGAGCUGAGACUGGUGAGGUCAGUUGAGACCAAAUCAAGAAGUGCCACAUUAAGGAGUUUAAACUCUAUCCUAGGGGGAAGGAGUCAAUGAGAGGCUUUAAGCAGUGGAGUGACAUGAUAGAAUUUGUACUUUACAUCUUCACCCUCAGGUUAAAACUGGGUGAGGAGGUUGGAUGAGAAGGCCAUUUGAGUUGUCUAGUGAGAGGUAAGGAUGGAGAGGAAUGAAUGGAUUCCAGCAACAGAAAGUGGAAUCGACAGUCAUUGAUUAGAUGGGUGUGAGUGGUGAGGGAGAAGGGAACAUUGAGAAUGACUUCCAGUUUCUGGUUGGGGCAACUGGGCACACACAGUGCCACUGACUGAGAUAACCACACGGGGAGGAGAUGACUUUAAUUUAACAUAUAUUGAGUUUUAAAUGCCCGAGGUAUAUUCAGAUAGAAAGAUCUGGUAGAUAAUAAAUGGAUUCUGGAGUGAGAGUAGAGUUGAUGUCUGAUGAUGCUGUUCUGGAAGUCUCAGCUUGCAGAUGGUAAUUGCAGACCUGAGAGGGACCAGAUCCUGGGCUAGGAGAGGUCUGGUGAGAAAGGCAGAAAGCUUGGUCUGAAUGCAGAGAAGUGCCUUUGACCAGAGGAACUCAUAAGGGAGUCUGAAGGUCAUGAGAGGUAGGAGGAAAGCAGCAGAGCUUAGAGUCACUAAAGCUGACAGAGAAGGCUUUUGAGGAGGAGGCAGUGGUCAAUUAUGUCCAAUGCUGCUAGAAGGUCAAGGAAGGAUUGAGAAAUGACCAUUGGAUUUGGCAAAGAAAGUGGAGCAGGUGGUUAUCAAGAUGCUGGGUGGAUGGGAGACCAAGGAGAGAAGAGAGGGAUUCAAAUAAUGGAAAUGAAUUGCUGAGGGCCUGGUCACUCAUGAGAGAACUCUGGCAGUGUCAUGGGGGAAAUGGAAGGUGUUUGAGAGGAAACAAUUGACAGAGAGAGAGAGGAGUGAGGGGGACUGUUCCUGAAGCCUGGCUAGGAAGGAGAGCAAAGGGAGGUAUUAGGUGGAAUGGGAGAUGGAUUCCACAAAAAAUCCCCCUGAGAGAUACUUCUUGUUUUGUAUUUUGAAGAUAGGAGAUAUGUGAGUUCGUAUCAAAGCUGAUUGUGAAGAACCAAUACAGAGAUGUUUUAGAAAUGAGAGAGAGAGGGGAGGCUGCUGGGCCAGGGGCAUAAUCAAUAAAAGGAGGUCUCUGAGUACAAGGGUAGAGAGAAUGAUGCAAUCCAGGGCUGAGAUGGGGUGACUGGCCACAGAAAGGAGGAGGGAUGAUGCCUUCAUGUCCUCCAGCAGGCGGGAAGGGGAAGCUGUGGCCAUGGCACUGGGACAGGGCAAGGGCAAAAACUACUCUUGAGACAAUGGUAGUGUGAAAAUAAAACCCCCCUGAAAACUGGACUCUUGGCUUCUUUGUUCCAGGCCCAAAGCUGCUGCCAAACUUUGGGGUUCUCAGCAGCACGCAUUGCAGACCAGGCCAGAGGCAUUGAUCCAGGGGCAGAGACGGUACAGGAUGUCAGGAGGUCAAGUCCUUCCUGAGGACCAGGAUGACCCCCUGGCCCUGGGGGAUGAAUAGUGAGCCAACGGGGAGGCUGGCAGGGACCAAACUCCAAUGUUGGAAAUGUUGGUGGAGAGACCAUAGCUGCACUCCAGGAGUUCUGCACACAAAGAAGUGGCAUGAUACCCUGUCUGUGACCACAGUGCUUCUCAAAACCUUUGUGGCCUUAAUUCACUCCGCUUCCCACCCCAUCCCUCUCCUGAAAUGCUGGGAAUGGGUACACUACCUGUCCUCAUCUAGCUUCUUGCCACAUCAGCCAAAUUUGCCCUUGGUGCCGGCUGAACUCCUCUAUUCAGGCUUCUCCUCAGGUUUACCUAAAUACCUCAAGCCCUUCCUUUUUAAGAAGGCUCCUUGACCACUCCAGCCCUCACUGUUCCCAUCUCCUUGCCUUCUGCAAAUACUUGCGUGUACACUGGAAUUGGAUCUUGUUUCUCUCGUGUGUUACUUCAUUUUCUUUCUUUUUUUUUUUUUCAUUUUAGAGAUGGAGUCUUGCUCUGUGGCCCAGGCUGGAGUGCAGUGGCACGAUCUCAGCUCACUGCAAUCCCCACCUCCCUGGUUCAAGCGAUUCUGCUGCCUCAGCCUCCUGAGUAGCUGGGAUUACAGGCACUUGCUACCAUGCCUGGCUAAUUUUUUUUUUUUUUUAAUAUUUUUAAUAGAGACGGGGUUUUGCCAUGUUGGUCAGGCUGGUCUCAAACUUCUGACCUCAAGUGAUCCACCUGCCUCAACUUCCCAAAGUGUUGGGAUUAUAGGUGUGAGCCACCGCUCCAGCCUCAUGUGUUACUUCACUUUCUGCAGACAUCAAACUCUGGUGACAGUGAAUCCUCAGCGUGCGUAGCAUAAAACUUAGCAUCUAGUAGGAGCAUAUAUAUGUUUAUUAUUAAUAUAAUGAUUAUACCUUA